AACGUAGGAGACAAACGUUAUCCGGAGUUACUGGGCGUAAAGGGCGUGUAGGUGGUUGAGUAAGUCUGGCGUGAAAUUUUUCGGCUUAACCGGGAAAGGUCGUCGGAUACUGCUUAACUAGAGGACGGUAGAGGCGUGUGGAAUUCCGGGUGUAGUGGUGAAAUGCGUAGAGAUCCGGAGGAACACCAGUGGCGAAGGCGACACGCUGGGCCGUACCUGACACUGAGAGACGAAAGCUAGGGGAGCGAAUGGG
rnacentral:rRNA from 1 species